rnacentral:rRNA from 1 species
UACGUAGGUGGCAAGCGUUGUUCGGAAUUACUGGGCGUAAAGCGUGCGUAGGCGGUUUGUUAAGUCUGUUGUGAAAUCCCCGGGCUCAACCUGGGAAUUGCAAUGGAUACUGGCAGGCUGGAGUAUGGUAGAGGAAGGUGGAAUUCCCGGUGUAGCAGUGAAAUGCGUAGAGAUCGGGAGGAACACCAGUGGCGAAGGCGGCCUUCUGGACCAAUACUGACGCUCAUGCACGAAAGCGUGGGGAGCAAACAGG